GACGAACGCUGGCGGCGUGCUUAACACAUGCAAGUCGAACGGAAAGGCCCUGCUUUUGUGGGGUGCUCGAGUGGCGAACGGGUGAGUAACACGUGAGUAACCUGCCCUUGACUUUGGGAUAACUUCAGGAAACUGGGGCUAAUACCGGAUAGGAGCUCCUGCUGCAUGGUGGGGGUUGGAAAGUUUCGGCGGUUGGGGAUGGACUCGCGGCUUAUCAGCUUGUUGGUGGGGUAGUGGCUUACCAAGGCUUUGACGGGUAGCCGGCCUGAGAGGGUGACCGGCACGAGGGCGUCAGAGAUGCGCCGGAGGCUCGUAGGGGAGGCGGCGGUGGGGCGUGAGGCACGAGGGGCGCACGCGGGAUGCGGCGCCGCGGCGUGGGGGAGGACGGCGUGCGCGUCGAACCUCGCUGCCGGGUGUGACGAGGUGGGGGUGGCGGUGAGGAGUAAAGAAGCGCCGGCGAAGUGCGUACCAGCGGCCGCGUUAAUAGGGGGAAGAGCACACGUCUGCCC
rnacentral:rRNA from 1 species